UCGAGUAGAGCUCUUCGGCCUUGUCCUAAGGAACUUCGGCCUCGGCUCUCCUUUGCUUCUUGUGUUUUCCGUGACAUGUCUUGUAUUAAUCGCGAGUUGACUUCCGGAUGUAUGGCUCCUUUACAUGACUUCUUCAUCCGGUUCAAUACUCCCCCUCAAGCUUAAGCGUAGAGAUAUCGAAGGUUGAGCUUGGAGAUAAANN
rnacentral:lncRNA from 1 species